UACGAGUGGUCCAAGCGUUAUCCGGAAUUACUGGGCGUAAAGGGUGCGUAGGCGGUUUAGUUAGUCUGUUGUUAAAGCUCCCGGCUUAACCGGGAAAAGGCAAUGGAAACGGCUAAACUGAGAGGGUGUCAGAGGUAUAUGGAACUCAUGGUGUAGGGGUGAAAUCCGUUGAUAUCAUGGGGAACACCAAAUGCGAAGGCAAUAUACUGGGACACGCCUGACGCUGAGGCACGAAAGCGUGGGAAUCGAACGGG
rnacentral:rRNA from 1 species